GCGCCAGUAGCUCAGCUGGACAGAGCAUCGGACUUCUAAUCCGAGGGUCGAGGGUUCGAAUCCUUCCUGGCGCA
rnacentral:tRNA from 1 species